CUGGGCAGUUAGAUAACUUCUGGCUGUGCAGCUUUUCACUCUUUCUGGAAAUCCUUGUUCCUGUUAGAAUCUCAGUAUUGUAGGAUGCAAAAACCUCCCGAAAUUUAGUACCUAAAACAAGCAACAGCUUAAAACUCGCUAGAGGGCUAUUUCAUGAAUAGGGAAGUUUGUGACGUAUGAACUAAAUGAAGCAAUUAAAUUACUAGUAAUUAGUAGCCAGCCAAUGUAGCACGCUAGGGAUGUGUGUGAACACAAAGUGUCUUUCCUCGAGUUUGCACCAUACAGAAUGAGAAAGACCCUAAUCAUUCAAAUAAUUCUCAGUUGGAAGAAGCCGCUAGAAAAAUAUCAGGAGCUACGAGAUGGCAUG
rnacentral:lncRNA from 1 species